rnacentral:SRP_RNA from 1 species
UGCCAGGCUGCAACCGGCAAGUUAAUACCCAACUCCGCUAGGUCCGGAAGGAAGCAACGGCAAGUAUGUUACUUGGGUGGUUGUAAGUCUGGCAUUA